GAACACAUUUAAAAACAUUAUACAUAACUUUUAGGGUUUAAGAAAAUAAUAGAAGAUGCCAAAAAAAUAAAAAAAUUGAUUGCUACCAAACUAGCACUAAAAUAUAGGAAUGGGAAUCAGUUCACUUCCAAACCUUCCACUGUGUUUACUAGCACACAAGGAAUCGGAAAAGUGUUAACUUCCUCUUAAAAUCUGUAAUAAAUACCUCAAUAUCAGGAAUCAGUUGAUCCAAUUCCCUUUCCUUUUCCUAUUUCUAAGUUCUCCCAUUCCUUCCUUAUUCCAUUUCUAUUAAGUAAACAUGCCCUGAGAUUUUAACUUUUGGACCACCAUUUUUGUCCUAUGAAUAUUUUAUCACAUCCACACUUCUGUACAGUAAAAUACUAACCAAAUAGAUUUAGGCCCCGUUUGGGAUUGAGGUGAUUUAAAAAAAGCCACUGUGAAAAAAAGCUGAGGGUCAUUUUUGUGUUUGGUAAACUGAAAAAAAAUGGCUUAUUUUGGAAGCUGCUGUGAGAAUAAGCUGAAAAUCAAAGGAAAAGCUGAAGCUGCUAUUUGCUGCUUUGAAAAAAAGCCAGUUUUUUCAAAGCACACGGAGCUACAGUGCUCCUUUAAUGAAAAGACACACUAUCAUCCUGAUUUUUUUUUCCAAAAGCACUUUCACAAAAAAGUUUACCAAACACUCUACUGGCUUUAUUUCACAGCCGCUUAUUCUCACAGCACAGCCGCUUAUUCUCACAGCAGUUUUUUUUCAAAGCACAGCAAUACCAAACCAGCCCUUAGACAGAUAGAUAAAAUACCACAUCCUCUGGAUCAUCAGGUUCUAUACGAAGUUUUGGUGGUAAACUUCGUGAUUGGAAGUCAAUAGAAGAAGCUUGUGCAAUCUUCCUUUUGAGUGCUUGUUUUGU
rnacentral:lncRNA from 1 species